rnacentral:rRNA from 1 species
AUUGAACGCUGGCGGCAUGCCUUACACAUGCAAGUCGAACGGCAGCGGACCUUCGGGUGCCGGCGAGUGGCGAACGGGUGAGUAAUGCAUCGGAACGUGCCAUUGAGUGGGGGAUAACGUAGCGAAAGUUACGCUAAUACCGCAUAUUCUGUGAGCAGGAAAGCAGGGGACCGCAAGGCCUUGCGCUCUUUGAGCGGCCGAUGUCAGAUUAGCUAGUUGGUGAGGUAAAGGCUUACCAAGGCGACGAUCUGUAGCGGGUCUGAGAGGAUGAUCCGCCACACUGGAACUGAGACACGGUCCAGACUCCUACGGGAGGCAGCAGUGGGGAAUUUUGGACAAUGGGCGCAAGCCUGAUCCAGCCAUGCCGCGUGAGUGAAGAAGGCCUUC